rnacentral:rRNA from 1 species
UCGAGAAUCUUCCGCAAUGCGCGCAAGCGUGACGGAGCGACGCCGCGUGGGUGAUGAAGGCCUUCGGGUUGUAAAGCCCUGUCAGCUAUCAGGAAACGCGGGUGGUGAAUAGCUAUCCCGCUUGACCCAAUAGCAGAGGAAGCACCGGCUAAAUACGUGCCAGCAGCCGCGGUAAUACGUAUGGUGCAAACGUUGUUCGGAAUCACUGGGCUUAAAGCGGGCGUAGGCGGUUUGGUCAGUCUGUUGUGAAAUCCCUCGGCUCAACUGAGGAACUGCAACGGAUACUGCCAAGCUAGAGUGCAGGAGGGGAGAGUGGAAUUCCUGGUGGAGCGGUGAAAUGCGUAGAUAUCAGGAGGAACGCCGGUGGCGAAAGCGACUCUCUGGACUGUUACUGACGCUGAGGCCCGAAAGCUAGGGGAGCAAACGGGAUUAGAUACCCGCGUAGUCC